rnacentral:lncRNA from 1 species
GAGAGCUCUCAUUUCCCCCCCUUGCUCGGGAUGGUGCCACAGGAGGCUGUGCGGGCCCCGCUCCGCUUCGAAUGGAUACAGUUAAGCUAAUGAUCUCCAGAGGAUAUCGUCCUGGAUAAGGGUGGAGCCUACGCCCAAAAAUGAGAUUGCCUGAAAGAGAAAAGAAAGGGGGAAAACACACAGAGAUACAGUCAGGGAGGCCACAUGAAGAUGGAGGCAGAGACAGGAGUGAUGAGCCUGCAAGCCAAGGAAUGCCAAGGGCUGCCAGCAGCCAUGAGAAGCUGAGAGACACAGAGAACGAGUCCUCUGCCAGAGCCUCCAGAAGGAGCUAACCCUGUCAAUACCUUGAUUUCGGACUUCUGGACUCCAGAACUAUAACCCUCCUUCCUCCACCUCACAAAAACUCACAAGCUGCAACCCUUCUGAUGUCCACUCCCACACAAACCAGCUUCAGGCCUUUUUCAAGCUUGCUUGGAGAAUACUUCUGAGACUUUCCAAGAGUGCAGGAAAUUCUACCCCCCAAGUAUGGCACCUUGGCAUGCUGAGUAUUUUAAGCUGAAGGAAACAGAGAAAACCACAGAAGCAGAAAGGUCUUUCUGACCUCUCUUGAAGACCCUCAUGUGACAGGUGUCCUGCCCUACAUCCAGAGAGAAGGAAUGUUCCACAGAGAGACUAAGAAGAAUCUGAAGAAUCAGGCCUUACUAAGUGCCCUCCAGUGGAUGCUGUGGGGCACCACCUCCUUGAGGACCAAGGCACUCCAGCUGCCAGGAAUUUGGCUGCUAACCUCACACAGCUGAGCCUUCCAUGAAAAUUGCUCUCUGCCAAAGAGAACUUCCUAGUCCAAGGUCAUGUCUACUCUCCAGAGAAAUGCACUGACCCUGCACUCUACAGGACACUAUGCUCAUUCCGAAUGCUAAGAUGUGACUGGAGUGAUUUGCACCUGGAUGCCUAGACUCGCCAUCUGCUGAAAGACUGCUCAGAAAGCCCUCCCAUGCAUUCCCCUGCUGCAUACCAGCCCACUCUGCCUGCAGCUGCUGUCUGCAGGACUUCAUAUCUAUGCCACACUGUGUAAAAGCUGUGCUUCAAGAAAUCACAAAAACGUUUUCCUGCACCUACUACACAGCCUGAGUGCGGCAUAAGUUGACCUUGCUUGCUAAGAAAUGGGGCAAGAAAUGCUUUUUUGUGUGUGUCAUGUCUGUUUGUUUUUCAAUUAAGAGAGGAAAGCAUUAGGCAGAUGGAAUGUACAUGUGAGGAUGAGGAGACAGAAAACAAGUAGCCCUUUCCAUCAAGAUAGAGGGUUUUCUGGGGUUGCUGGCUGUUGAAUGUCACUCCUGAUUUCUCUUUCCAAGGCACUGUACCACCAGCCUACUGAGAUUGUGUGGGAGCUUUCAUGGGGGUUGUAUUUCACUGAUGAAAAUAAAUUUUGUGCAUAAU